rnacentral:rRNA from 1 species
UACGGGUAGCCGGCCUGAGAGGGUGAUCGGCCACACUGGGACUGAGACACUGCCCAGACUCCUACGGGAGGCUGCAGUCGAGGAUCAUUUGCAAUGCGCGGAAGCGUGACAAUGCGACGCUGCGUGGGGGAUGAAGGCCUUCGGGUUGUAAACUCCUGUCAUUCGGGAAAAACGGUCAAGUGGAUAAUACCCACUAGGCGUGAUGGUACCGAAAGAGGAAGCCACGGCUAACUCUGUGCCAGCAGCCGCGGUAAUACAGAGGUGGCGAGCGUUGUUCGAUUUACUGGGCGUAAAGAGUGCGUAGGUGGUUUCGUAUGUCGGACGUGAAAGCCCAAGGCCCAACUUUGGAAUUGCAUCCGAAACUGCGGAACUAGAGUGCAGGAGGGGAGAGCGGAAUUCUUGGUGUAGCGGUGAAAUGCGUUGAUAUCAAGAAGAACACCGGUGGCGAAGGCGGCUCUCUAGAAUGUUACUGACACUGAGGCACGAAAGCUGGGGGAGCAAACAGGAUUAGAUACCCUGGUAGUCCCAGCCGUAAACGGUGCACACUUGGUGUUGGCGGUAUUGACCCCGCCAGUGCCGGAGCUAACGCGUUAAGUGUGCCGCCUGGGGAGUACGGCCGCAAGGCUAGAACUCAAGGAAAUUGACGGGGGCCCGCACAAGCGGAGGAGCAUGUGGCUUAAUUCGAUGCAACGCGAAGAACCUUACCAGGGCUUGACAUGUAACUGCUCAUCCUGUGAAAGCAGGACUCUUUCGAAGGUGUUACACAGGUGCUGCAUGGCUGUCGUCAGUUCGUGCCGUGAGGUGUUGGGUUAAGUCCCGCAACGAACGCAACCCCUGUGUCUAGUUGCCACUCCGUCUUUGGCGGAAGCACUCUAGACAGACUGCCCGUACAAGCGGGAGGAAGGUGGGGACGACGUCAAGUCAGUAUGGCCCUUACGCCCUGGGCUGCACACGUGCUACAAUGGUCGGUACAGAAGGAAGCAAUGCCGCGAGGUGGAGCAAAUCCCUAAAACCGGCCCCAGUUCGGAUUGGAGUCUGCAACUCGACUCCAUGAAGUUGGAUUCGCUAGUAACGGCGCAUCAGCUACGGCGCCGUGAAUACGUUCCCGGGCCUUGUACACACCGCCCGUCACAUCAUGAAAGCCGUCUGCACCCGAAGUCGCUGAGCUAACCCUUUUAGGGAGGCAAGUGCCGAAGGUGUGGGUGGUGAUUGGGAUGAAGUCGUAACAAGGUA